rnacentral:rRNA from 1 species
ACGAACGCUGGCGGCGUGCCUAACACAUGCAAGUCGAGCGAGAUCCAUCCGGUGGCAACACCGGUGAAGAUCUAGCGGCGAACGGGUGAGUAACACGUGAGAAACCUGCCCCGGAGACCGGGAUAACUCGAGGAAACUCGAGCUAAUACCGGAUACCCCCACCGAACCGCAUGAUUUGGUGAGGAAAUGCUCCGACGCUCCGGGAGGGUCUCGCGCCCUAUCAGCUAGUUGGUGAGGUAACGGCUCACCAAGGCUAAGACGGGUAGCUGGUCUGAGAGGACGAUCAGCCACACUGGGACUGAGACACGGCCCAGACUCCUACGGGAGGCAGCAGUGGGGAAUCUUGCGCAAUGGGCGAAAGCCUGACGCAGCAACGCCGCGUGGGGGAUGAAGGCUCUCGGGUUGUAAACCCCUUUCAGGAGGGACGAAAAUGACGGUACCUCCAGAAGAAGCCCCGGCCAACUACGU